rnacentral:rRNA from 1 species
UACGUAGGUGGCAAGCGUUGUCCGGAUUUACUGGGCGUAAAGAGCGCGCAGGCGGUCGUUCAAGUCGCGUGUGAAAGCCCCCGGCUCAACCGGGAGAGGUCGCUCAAGACUGGCGGGCUGGAGAGUGGUAGAGGAAGGUGGAAUUCCCGGUGUAGUGGUGAAAUGCGUAGAUAUCGGGAGGAACACCAGUGGCGAAGGCGACUACCUGGCCUGUUUCUUGACGCUGAGGCGCGAAAGCUAGGGGAGCAAACGGG